rnacentral:rRNA from 1 species
UACGAAGGGGGCUAGCGUUGCUCGGAAUGACUGGGCGUAAAGGGCGCGUGGGCGGUUGGGCAAGUCAGGGGGGAAAUUCCUGGGCUUAACCUGGGGGCUGCGCUUGAUACAUCCAGACUUGAGUGGGGAAGAGGGUCGUGGAAUUCCCAGUGUAGCGGUGAAAUGCGUAGAGAUCGGGAGGAACACCAGAGGCGAAGGCGGCAAGCUGGAUGGGCACUGACACUCAACUGCGAAAGCGUGGGGAGCAAACAGG